UGGGCAAAGUCAAUUGACAAUCUUCUGGAAAGGAUUCACCAUUCUAGGUGCCAUUCAGAACAUUUGUGAUUAAUGGGAAGAGGUCAAAAGAGCAACAUGCACAGGAGUUGGGAAGAAGUUGAUCCCAGCCCUCAUGGAGGACUUUCAAGGGUUCUAGACUUCAGUGGAGGAAGUAACUGCAGAUGUGGUAGAAAUGUCAAGAGAACUAGAAUUUGAAGUGGAGUCUGAAGAUGGGACUGAAUUGCUGCAAUUUCACGGUCAAAUUUGAAUGGUGGUCUGGAACCAAAUCCACAGUAUCUCCAAGGUACGCUUGUAUAUAUAUAAUACCAGCCUACCAAUGCCAACUCCCACCUUUUUCUCUUCCCCGCAGGGCCUCAGAACUAUAACCACCUGUGACUUGGACACAACCCUGGGAAGGGGGACAGGAAACCUGAACUGACUGAGAUUUGGGUUUUGCCACUCACUGGAAUGAGGGCUCAAAAUGGAAAUGAAGCUCAGAUAGGUUCAAAAAGGUUGAACACCUUUCUCGCCUGUCUACAUUUCUGUGCAUUAUUACUUGCUUUAGAAAGUUUCCAAAUGCCCAUAGGUGAUGCUAACAAGUAAUUGAAGCCAAAAUGCUGAGGGUGGAAACGCCUUCAGUCUGAGGCCCCCAAGGGCUCCUUCAGGGCAGAGCCCUAAGCUGCCCAUUCGGUUGUUAGAGGAAUCCAGAAGAGCCAGGACUGUGCCCUUCAGACUCUGGAUGAUUCGACAUCUGGUGGCACGGCUGAUUUUGCUGGACAACUCUGGACGAAAUGAAUAACUCUUCUAAACCUUCUCCCCAUUAGAAAGGGACUCAGAACCUGUCUAAUGUGGAUAUGGAAUGGCCUCAUCCUACACAAAGUGUGUUUCCAUCAUUGACUGCAAAAUGGCAUGAAAGGCCUUUGGAAGUAGAAAACAGUAUAAAUAUGCUCUCAAGUGACUUACUGGAGCCUGAUGUGGUAAGCUUGGGAUUCCAAAGCUAUUCUCCAAUUAAAGCCUAGGAUUUCCUAUUGAAAUUCAAGGUUUUGAUCAGGACAUUCACAAUGACUCAAAGAUCUAAAUAUGUACAGUGUCAAACCACAUUCUGAGCAGACAUGAAUGCUUAAGACUCCUCAUGUAUUUAUCAAAAGUAUGGCUGGGUUAUAGUUUCAUGAGAUGAUUAUAAAGUUGUGUAUGAUGUUUGCAUUUUCCUCAUUCCCCGUUUUCUUAUUCAUGUGUUUUGCAUUUUCAUUCUACAGAAUUCAUUUGCCCUCCUCCUUAUUUACUCCAAAACUUUUCUCCUUCUCGUCCCCUAUUUUACUUUUCAUCUUCACAUUAAUUCUGUUCUUCCUCUUUUCCUUCCUUCAACUUCCCCCUAUAUUUUUUAUAUUCAAAAGUGUAUUUAUAUCUUCUCCUUCCCUUCACUUUUUGUCCAUUCUUAAUGCUGUUGCUCCUUAACAGUAAUUAGCCUCUAUUGAGUACUUAGUAAAUGCCAUGCUCCCUGCUAGGUGUUUACGUGUAUCACGGUACCAUAUAUAGGGGAGGGAAAUGAGACUCAGAAAUUGAGUAACUUGCCCAAAGUCACACAGGAGGAAUGGGGAAGCCAGGGCUCAGAUAAAAGCGUCUGCUUCCAGACCCCAGGUCCCCGAUGCGUACCUCCUCCUGUUAUGCCCCAUUCCCCACUGCCCUAACUCCACCUACUUCUGACCUCCUUUACCUGGAUUACCCCUGCCUGCAACCCCACCUCCCUCUUCACACCCACCCUCACGCCCCACAACACACACACCUAAGAUCUCCCCUUUGCCCAAAUCUAUCCUAUCCCUCCCCCUGUAGAGGGUGUGGCUGUCAGGCAUGACAUUCUCCUACCUGCUGUCUAUCUAGGGAACAUGUUCAAAAGCCCCCUUUCAGGCCAUUCAUUGGGCCAGGGACCUUCCUUUCUUCCCCUGCUGUGACAAUUCAGAGCCCAUUUUUGCUUCCAACGGUCAGAAUUUUUCCACAGUAACAUUCUGAUGGUUCUUCUCUCUUCUUUGUAUAACUCUGUGUAUGUAUGUCGUUGAGUGCACCAGAUUCAAUUUUUUCCAAAAGCUUUCUUUGAAAAAAAAAAUAACCACUUUGAUCCUAAGUCUAUCAAAACUGAAUGGCCUCAGUGGGCCCUUUGUACUAUUUGCUCCUGGUCCUUUCAUUCUCCUGCUCUCUGAGAUAGCACACAACUCCACCAUCCUCACCCUCAGUUGAUGAACUUGCUUCCUAAGUGACCGAGCAAAAGGAAACAAGCAGAAUCGAAUUUCUGAGACUUUCAUCACCACAUCCCCCCACCUCCUUCUGGCUCACAUAACCCUCCCUCCCACUGGUCACUGUGGAGGAGGCAUGCAUGCCCUGGGUAAGCU